rnacentral:rRNA from 1 species
CCCUUAGAUGUUCUGGGCCGCACGCGCGCUACACUGAUUCAUGCAACAAGUUUUGUCCUUGGCUGAUAGGCUUGGGUAAUCUUUGAACGUGAAUCGUGAUGGGGAUAGAUGAUUGCAAUUAUUCAUCUUCAACGAGGAAUUCCUAGUAAACGCAAGUCAUCAGCUUGCAUUGAUUACGUCCCUGCCCUUUGUACACACCGCCCGUCGCACCUACCGAUUGAAUGGUCCGGUGAAAUCUUCGGAUCUGAGAGAUGUCUGAUUAAUUUCGGACGCCUUUUGGAAAAGUUGCUUAAACCUUACCAUUUAGAGGAAGGUGAAGUCGUAACA